rnacentral:lncRNA from 1 species
AAGAAAUGCUCCCCAACUUCAAUAAAUUUCAAACCUAGGAGGGACGGCACUUCUGCCACACAGGAAACUGGAAAGAGAACCUCCAAUGCUCUACUUCUGGUACUGAGCUCAGAAAACAAAGAGGUCACUGUGAGUGCAGGUACUCUGGAUGGCUGAUGGCUUCUUGCCACCCUUGCCUAACUCCAGCAUCUGAUGACUGGCUCCUCUGCCUGAGCUGUCUCUCUUCCUCCUCUGUGCUGGCCAGUUUGGAAUCUGGUGAGGGUCUGGACUCUUUGUCCAAGAUGCCUUUGAAUCUUCCAGAGGAAAGGAACCCUGUGUUCUCAAAAGGGCAGAAGGUAGAAGGACAAAAAGAGCCAAAUUUCCCACUUCUCAACACUAUUGCAUUGUGGAUUCAAUGUCCAAUGCAUGAAUUUGAGUGGAAUAUAUUCAAACCACAGUGCCAGGUAUGGCUGAAUUAACUAACUUGCCAUCUACUGCCAAGUAACCCACACUUGAACCUGGGACCUGCAAUUUCAGAUACAGAAACUGUCUUCCAAACUUCCACAAUAAUGCCUGGCAAAGACAGGUUCAGACUAACCCAGCCAAAAGAUGACAGAACAACAAAAGUUCUCAAAAGACUGGAGGAGGAGAGAAAAAAAAAUGGAGGAGAAAAAUGAAAAAUCACAGUGAACUGGAGAAGAAUUAACAUGGAGGUCAAGAAAGAAAAAUCCAGAGUUACCAUGGUUUCUGUGAUAUAUUAGCAAAGCUUUGUUUUUGGAGCCAUUCACUCCUAGUAACUGGUUGAGUCUUAUAUCUUAGUGUUAUUCCCAGUCACCAAAACCAUUACCCCCUGUCCUGUGUUUUGGAUGCAGCGAGGCUGGUGGUUUGUUUUUAGAUGACAGUUCCAUAGCACCCUGGGCAGACAGAGGGCCCAGGUCUAUGGGAUUCUAGGAUCUAACAAGGGAAGUAUGUACAGUGCUUCAUCUCUCCCAGAUGACACCCACUAAGAACAGUUUAGAAACUGUUCCUUUAACAUUAACAUAUGGCCCACACGUGAGUCCUGGCCCGCAGCAGGUGAAUGGCU